UAAAAAUAAUGAGGCAGGAAUUUGCAAACAGAAGGAAGAGAAGGGUGAUUGUGAAAGCAGAGCUGAGGCCCUUGAAAGCACCAGCACAAUGUCAGAGUGUCUUGGGAAUAGAAGCAAAUGUCAGGACCAGAGUAAUUAGCUUCCCUCAGCCAGGAUUAGAAAGCUGCUGUGAGACUACCAUCCUACCAGCACUUUUCAGGGCUACAUGAGAAGGCUGCUAAGGGCACAAACAAACUAUCUUCUCCCACAGCACCUACACUUGGAAAUCUAAAAAUAUCCCACUAAGGAAACAAAAAGAGCUUCAUUUUUUUACCUCCAAUAAAGUGCGCAGGAUUAAGCGAGAAUUUUUAAGGGGCAGAGAAGAAGAAAAGAAAAAUAUUAAAUUAUGUUACAGCAAAGGUAUAGUGAUCUCAUUCAGCGCUCACAGCAAGGGAUGCACCAACUAAUGUAGGUAGGGGGGAAGAGGAAGUUUUACCUGCCCAGGCUGCCUGCACAGGGAGGGCACCUGCUACUGCUGCUCGCCCCCUGCACGCUAUUCUCCAGAUGCACUACUGGGUACAUGGCUGUGCUGCCCAGCUCUUAUAGCCAAGCAACACAGGGCUGCCCCUGCCACAGUAAAGACUCUCGGGGGGAGAGUCUCACAUCCCCUUAUAAUUGGGGCCCAGGGCUAGUUAUGCUAAUGUGCUAGAAGAACAAGUCUGCUGGCGAGUGCACAUCCCAUGGCCAUUAGCCACCACCAUAAUUUGCCUUCAGCUGGCCUGGGUCUGAGACCUGUCUUCCAUGUGCUUCUCUCCUGCUGAUGCAGUUCUGCCCCAUGAGGCAUGCUUGAGAUGGCAGGCCCAGGAAUGACUUCCCCACUAGGAAACUGUCAAAGUGGAACCUGCUUCCAAAGUGAGCCCAACAUCAGAAUUACUGGCUAUGAGGUGAAGGCCCAAACUGGGAGACUGGGAUCUGUCAUUUCCGGUUGCAACUGUUCCAGUUCCUCAUUGUCAUUAGAGUUGACAGAGUCAAAAGUCUAAAAUGCAUAGGUGCACACAUGAUAUUCAGCCUUCGAGCCAUGUGAUAAGUGAAACAACUGAACCAUGGUGAAUUCUCACAUUGUUUUAAACUUGGCAGUAGUUGGAAGAGAUUUACCACAUCUAACUUUCCUUCCUUAUCAUUAUCAAAAUGACAUAAGUUGGCCCCUGAGGCAAUGAAAUCAAUAAAAUAGUUUUGCUGUGAUAAAUUUUUCUACUGACACACUAGACAAAUUACAUCAGCCACUUCCUUCCAGGCAUUACAUAUUUUUAUUUAUUAAGCAUAUGAGGUUGGAGGUCCUUUAUGGAAUUUCCUAUAAUCUUAGUG